UGUAAUCCCUCUUAUCACUUUGGUUGUAACGCUGAGAAUUGAAGUUUUUCUUUUCCCUUUCCAAAACCCUAAGUUCAACCAUGGCCGCACACCUCUUUCCCCAUCGUUUAAUUUCCUUUUCAUUCUUCAUGUUUACAUCUUCUCUUUGAACAACCCUAACGGAGACUCUCCUAAUCCAGCAGAUCUAUUUUCAUCUGAUAUGUUUUUGACGGGUUAGGGUUUUUCAAUUCCCAUCAGUAGAGAAGAAGAUGAAGGGUUUUGUUUGUUCAGAAAGUUGUUCUGAUAACUGGUCACACAGUUGCUUUCUGUUCUUUCACUGGUCAAUAAAGGUAUGUCUCGGUUAUUUUCUUCAUUUUUUUCGGGAACAGGGGUUUUUUGCUUCCUUACUUUUGUCAAUUUCUAUGUGUUUUUUUUGGUUUCAUCAUGAUUUUUAAUGUUAGUUAUCAGUUAAGGUUUUACAUGAUUUAAAAGCUGACUGUGAUAACCGUUACUUGAGUGCUAUUUUGAUCUUUAUGUAUUUAACACAAGUUGUUUGCAUUAGGGUUGUCUUUGGCUAUAUCUAUGGUUAGAUGAUAGCAGUUUGGUACAAUUUCUCUGAAACAUAUUUGUUGCAGGUUAGGAAUGUAUAACCUUCUUUUAUGUUUUUUUCAAGUUUAUAAAAUAGAAGUUAAACAAAAGGCUCUUCCUUUGUCUCCAUAUUUUUUUAAUCAUUAUUGCGGCUAUUCAUGUAAAAAUAGUUAAUUGUCUUUGAAGGGUUAAAGCGUAUAUUGACGGAUAUUAGUUAAGUAGCCGAAUGUCCCGUUUAGGUGACUUCCAUGGCAACCGUAAGUAUGCAUCUUGGCAGGGCAACCCGGAUGGUCAUGUGGUUUCACAUGGCAACCGUAAGUACGCAGCCAUGGCGGAUUUAUCCACUCUGUUUGAUUGUUUACAAAUCGGAGCCUCAUAAUCGUUUUAUAACAUCGACAACAGUACUGAUUUGGAGUUUAUAGCAGCCGGAAGAGUUAAUGGAAGAUUUCAUACGACAUAUCUCAAAAAUUAAUUAACAACCUUGAGGAGAAGAAACCAAAGUUGAAGGAUGAACAUUUGUCACAUUUUAAGAGGAAUUGUUGAGGCACACAAUGAAGGGUAUGACUUUCAUAGUGUUUCCCGGUACAGAUAUGCUUCUUAAAACCUCUUCUCGAGAAUCAGUUUGCUGAUAAGAAUCAAAAUUCACUUCUGUGUCAAGUGACAAAGCUCUGGAGUGUAUCAUCAAGGAGAAUGACGAAAAUACCCUUUUUAAUGAGCAAACUCUUCAAAUGGUUGUGGUUUAAAAAAAUUUAUCAAGUUAUUUUUGUUCAAGAACUUAUCAUACUUCUCUUUAAUAAUUUUUAUUUUCCGGCAUUAACUUAUUUGUAGGUAAUCCCUUUUAAGGUAAGUUACAUUUUCGUAUAGUCAAUCAGCGCUGUAGUACAUUUGUGUUUGUUAUUAACCAAUUUGUUGCAUAUGUAAGUAUGUGUGUGUAGAUAUGCAGUGGUAACAGGGGCAAACAAAGGUAUAGGAUUUGAAUUUUGCAAGCAACUGGCUUCAAAUGGGUCAAAGUAGUGUUGACUGCAAGAGACGAAAAGAGAGGCAUUGAUGCCCUUGCCAAAUUCAAAGACACUCAUCUUUCCGAUCCCGCGAGUUUCGCGGGUGGCUUAACACAAAAAUAUAAUAUCUACUGGCAUUGAAGCCCAUGUAGAUCAUCAUUUUUGUUCUAGGCCUUUCCCAACUUAGGCUUCACGUUUAAGGGUCGCCAGAUAGAUACCUUCUGGACAAAAUAUUAAUAUGUCAGCAGCUCUUGAAGUAAUAUAGAAUGGGUCAUAAUUAUUGCAGAGUAGACCAAUGUGGCUCUUGAAGUAAUAUAGAAGAAUAAUAUGUCAGCAGCUCUUUGCCAUCAAGCUAUGACUAUCCUUGUAGAGGAAUAUAACGUCCAACCAUUGAAGUGUCCAGUUUCGAUUUGCGGUGAUAUUCUUGGUCAAUUUUACGUCUCAUUGAGCUGUUUCGGAUUGGUGGAAGUACUCCUGAUGCAAAUUAUCUCUUCAUGGGAGAAUACGUAGGGUAUUCUUGGACCAAUUACUGCGAUUUUUUUAUCACCGAGAGGUUUUUUUUUUUUUUGCAUUUUGAAUACCUAUUAGGUGACCUUCGACCCAUUUCCAAUAAACUUUUAGAGGCAAAAUAUAACCCGAAAUGACCUUUUUUAAUUUUUGAUGGGUCAAGAAUGCCACACCUAUUUGCUUUAACUGGGUGCUGCUUGUAGUUCUUCCUAUCAUUUUUAUUAUGUUCUAAUAAUAGUGUUUCUAUUAAAUUCUGGAUUUUUUGUGGUUUCUGUAUCAUUUUGUAAUAUUCACAUGUAGCUUGGAAGUUUUACAGGCCUCAGACUUAUCUGAUUUGGUUCUAUCCUGCAUAUAGAAGCUAUUGUUCAUGGUCUGGUGAACUAAGUUCCAGCUUUUCAAGAUGAAGUUCAUGAAACUUGGGUCAAAACCGGAUUUGUUUCAGUCCAAUGGCGAAAACACUCGGUCAAAGAACUCCACCACCCAAUCCUACCGGUGAUUACUUUGUAGCAAAGAGUAUUUGUCAAUUAGCAUGUGUAACGAAUAAAUUACUUUUUGUAUGAUUUAGUUAUGUGUUAAUCAUAAAUAGCUUUACUAUAUGAUUUAUUUC